CGCACAUGAAAGUAAAGUAAAAAUUGUAUGAAUAGAAAUACAGAUAACCAAAAUAUAAGUUUUGAUCGGCAAUGACACGUGGGCUCCAAUUGACCAAGAGGAUGUAAGACUGUGAACUCUUACUUUGUAUAAUGCAGUUCCGAGCUUAGUUCUCGUCCUACUCGACUAUCUACAAACUGUCCUGAGCCUGAAAAAUGUAUAGGAAGAAGGGGUGAGAUUUUAUAAUCCCAGUGAGUAAACAGAUACCAUCAAAAGUAUCUAAAGCCGAGUAAAUGGAGACAAUUAAAAC
rnacentral:lncRNA from 1 species